rnacentral:misc_RNA from 1 species
AACGCAUAUUGCACUUUCUGGUAUUCCGGAGAGUACACCUGUUUCAGUAUCAAAAAUGACAUCUAAAAUUUGGUUCGUUUAUUAAGUCAGACGGGUCAAACUUUGGGAUUUGGGUUUUGCAGAACUUUUUAGUUUGGCUGGCCUUAAAUAAUUUAGCCACAUCAUGAAAAGUUUUUUGGGUGAUAAGGCGUAAUAGUUGGUACUUUCGGGUCCAUCCCUUUCGCUGAAGCCUGUCUUUUUUUUCUGAAAUUUUGGCUUAAUAAUUAUGGAAAAAUAAAAUAUAUAUAUUUCACCAUUGUUUAGAUCUGAAAUCAGGUGGGAUUACCCGCUGAACUUAA